UACGUAGGUCCCGAGCGUUGUCCAGAUUUAUUGGGCGUAAAGCGAGCGCAGGUGGUUUAUUAAGUCUGGUGUAAAAGGCAGUGGCUCAACCAUUGUAUGCAUUGGAAACUGGUAGACUUGAGUGCAGGAGAGGAGGGUGGAAUUCCAUGUGUAGCGGUGAAAUGCGUAGAUAUAUGGAGGAACACCGGUGGCGAAAGCGGCUCUCUGGCCUGUAACUGACACUGAGGCUCGAAAGCGUGGGGAGCAAACAGG
rnacentral:rRNA from 1 species